rnacentral:ribozyme from 1 species
UCAAAAGAAGAAAAGAGAAAUGGAACAGGAGAAGAAGGAAAAAGGAAGGGAAUUGUCUUAUUUGGUCUAUUUCACUGUAAUUUUUCUAUUUCCUUUUAUAUUUGUUCUAACCGUUCACUCUUCAUUACAUUAAAUUACAAUGGAACUGAAUGAAUGAAGUGUAAGCGUGAAUUUAAUGGAAUGAAAACAAGUGAACGGUUAGACCAAAAUAUAAAAUGGAAUUGUGUUCUUUAUUCGUUUAAUUCGCGCUCUCUUCUUUCGCUUCUAAUUAAAUGAAUAAAGGACACAGCUCAUUCAUCAU